AAGUAAAAGUCGUAACAAGGUUUCCGUAGGUGAACCUGCGGAAGGAUCAUUAGUGAAUAUAGGACGUCCAACUUAACUUGGAGUCCGAACUCUCACUUUCUAACCCUGUGCACUUGUUUGGGAUAGUAACUCUCGCAAGAGAGCGAACUCCUAUUCACUUAUAAACACAAAGUCUAUGAAUGUAUUAAAUUUUAUAACAAAAUAAAACUUUCAACAACGGAUCUCUUGGCUCUCGCAUCGAUGAAGAACGCAGCGAAAUGCGAUAAGUAAUGUGAAUUGCAGAAUUCAGUGAAUCAUCGAAUCUUUGAACGCACCUUGCGCUCCAUGGUAUUCCGUGGAGCAUGCCUGUUUGAGUGUCAUGAAUACUUCAACCCUCCUCUUUCUUAAUGAUUGAAGAGGUGUUUGGUUUCUGAGCGCUGCUGGCCUUUACGGUCUAGCUCGUUCGUAAUGCAUUAGCAUCCGCAAUCGAACUUCGGAUUGACUUGGCGUAAUAGACUAUUCGCUGAGGAAUUCUAGUCUUCGGACUAGAGCCGGGGUUGGGUUAAAGGAAGCUUCUAAUCAGAAUGUCUACAUUUUAAGAUUAGAUCUCAAAUCAGGUAGGACUACCCGCUGAACUUAAGCAU
rnacentral:sRNA from 1 species